rnacentral:rRNA from 1 species
ACAAGCUAAAAAGGGCGUAAGGUGAAUGCCUUGGCACUAAGAGCCGAUGAAAGACGUGAUAAGCUGCGAAAAGCUUCGGGGAGUGGCAAAUACACAGUGAUCCGAAGAUAUCUGAAUGGGGCAACCCACAUGAGCGAACCUCAUGUACCGUAUACUGAAUCCAUAGGUAUACGGAGGGAGACCCGGUGAACUGAAACAUCUAAGUAGCCGGAGGAAGAGAAAACAAAAGUGAUUCCGCAAGUAGCGGCGAGCGAACGCGGAGGAGCCCAAACCGGAAUGCUUGCAUUCCGGGGUUCGGACUGCGGACGUGACUGACGAGCCAAACAGAAUGGUACUGGGAAGACCAACCAAAGAGGGUGAAAGUCCCGUAAGUGAAGGUAAGGAAGCACAGCAGGAUCCAGAGUAAUACGAGACACGAGAAACCUUGUAUGAACGCGCGGGGACCACCCCGUAAGGCUAAAUACUCCUUAGUGACCGAUAGAGGAUAGUACCGUGAGGGAACGGUGAAAAGAACCCCGGGAGGGGAGUGAAAGAGAACCUGAAACCUUAUGCCUACAAGCUGCGAGAGGACAAUGAUACGUCAAGGCGUAUAAAGUCUGAUCGUGUACUUUUUGUAGAACGGUCCGGCGAGCCAUGUAUACCGGCGAGGUUAAGUUUUUAAGAGACCGAGCCGAAGGGAGACCGAGUGUGAAGAGCGCGCAAGUCGGUAUAUAUGGGCCCGAAACCGGGUGACCUACCCAUGACCAGGAUGAAGCGGCCGUAAAAGGCUGUGGAGGUCCGAACACACAUCCGUUGAAAAGGGUGGUGAUGAGUUGUGGGUAGGGGAGAAAUUCCAAUCGAACCCGGAGAUAGCUGGUUCUCCCCGAAAUAGCUUUAGGGCUAGCCUGAUAGCAUACCUGAUGGAGGUAGGGCACUGAACGUCUAAGGGGGCUUCACCGCUUACCGAAGACCAUCAAACCACGAAUGCCAUACAGGAAGAGCAUCAGAGUCAGACUGCACGAGAUAAGUUGGGUAGUCAAAAGGGAAACAGCCCAGAUCUACAGCUAAGGUCCCAAAGUACGUGUUAAGUGGAAAAGGAUGUAGGAUUUCAAAGACAGCUAGGAUGUUGGCUUAGAAGCAGCCACACAUUCAAAGAGUGCGUAAUAGCUCACUAGCCGAGAGGUCCCGCGCCGAAAAUUACCGGGGCUGAAACACGACACCGAAGCUUAGGGACAGAAUAUAUCUACGGGUAUAUUUUGUCGGUAGGGGAGCAUUCACAGGAGGAAGAAACCAUACUGAAAAGAGUGGCGGACUGCUGUGAAGGGAGAAUGCCGGAAUGAGUAGCGAGAUGAAGGUGAGAAUCCUUCAGGCCGAAUAUCCAAGGAUUUCAGGGUAAAGCUGAUCUGCCCUGAGGAAGUCGGGACCUAAGGCGAGGCCGAAAGGCGUAGCCGAUGGACAGCAGGUUGAGAUUCCUGCACCUGAGUAAAUCAGAAGAGCGAGGACACGGAGAAGUAGAGUCAGCCGGGAGAGAAGCCCGGUGCAAGCGAAGCUGCCGGUAGGGAGUAAAUCCCCUACGGAAGGUAGAGGCGUGACGCGGAGCGAAAUAAAAGUAGUGAAGGACUUAAGGGAACCGUCGAGAAAAGUCGCUAUUGUGUUUACUCAGCCCGUACCGUAAACCGACACAGGUGGAUGAGGAGAGAAUCCUAAGGCCGACGGGAGAAGCAUUGCUAAGGAACUCGGCAAAAAGUCCCCGUAACUUCGGGAGAAGGGGAGCCUGCGAGAGCAGGCCGCAGAGAAGAGGCUCAAGCAACUGUUUAGCAAAAACACAGGUCUAUGCGAAACCGAAAGGUGAGGUAUAUGGGCUGACGCCUGCCCGGUGCUGGAAGGUUAAGAGGAGAGGUUAGCGCAAGCGAAGCUUUGAAUUUAAGCCCCAGUAAACGGCGGCCGUAACUAUAACGGUCCUAAGGUAGCGAAAUUCCUUGUCGGGUAAGUUCCGACCCGCACGAAA